UGGUGGCGCAGUGGUUGAGAGUCCGCCUGCCGAUGCAGGGGAAGCGGGUUCGUGCCCCGGUCCGGGAAGAUCCCACAUGCCGCGGAGCGGCUGGGCCCGUGAACCAUGGCCGCUGGGCCUGCGCGUCCGGAGCCUGUGCUCCGCAACGGGAGAGGCCACAGCAGUGAGAGGCCCUUGUACCGCAAAAAAGAAGAAAAAGAAAGUGGCAGUGUGCAGUGGUGUGCUGGGUUUCCUCAACAACCCGCUCUCCCGAGGAGGAGAUGUGCUGAUUUUCGUGCUGUAAAUACUCUCACCAGGGCCAGUUUUGAGGGUUAUGUGAGGUGUAAUUCAGAAGACACACAUGCAAGGCUGCAGUGGGUGACACUUCCCAGGGGUAGUAGCCCUUCCAGGCUGGAUGAUCCCCAUUUCUUCUGAAGCCACAG